CUGUGUGCAUUUUCCUGCUCUUUUUGCCUGGGCACCUAAGGGUCAGGCUAGUGCCUUAUGCAAAAAUACCAGCGUGCCAUGUGCAGAUCCUCUUUACAU